GCACCCCCCACAUAUACAUGUAUAUAUAUAUGUGUGUGUGUGUGUGUAUAGGUGGGAGGGAGAGAGGAGAGGCCAAGGGGCUCCCCAAGUAGGUCUGAAUCCUACUUGGGCUCCUGACCUUGGCCGCGCC
rfam:Triticum aestivum genome assembly, contig: Triticum_aestivum_CS42_TGACv1_scaffold_061262_1DL